rnacentral:tRNA from 1 species
UGGGGCGUAGACAAGCGGUAAGUCAUUGGAUUUUGAUUCCAACAUGCGAAGGUUCGAAUCCUUCCGCCCCAACCA